rnacentral:misc_RNA from 1 species
GGCAAAACAUAUUUAUUAGAAGGAAAUCUAAAAUAGGCACAAAAUAGGGCUGACAAACCAGCCACAUAAAUGUGGAAAAUUGACAUAAAAAACCUUAAAUUACACACUAAACCAGCUCAAAACAAGUUGCAGAUAGAGGUGCCAAGACGAACAAAUGCAGAUGCAUACCCCACUGAAAUAUAUAUGCACAUAUGUUUCAAAUUCUGCAAAUAAUUGAUGGCAAACUAACGUAGCAAACACAUAUGCUUCAAAUUCCAAAUGAAGAUCCAAAGGCUAAAUCUAAGCAAAUAGGCUCUAGAUAAAUGCUCAGAACCCACGCUGACUGCAGAUGCUAAAGACUUGAAGAGGCCGCAGGUCAAGAUUCCAAAUAAAACAAUCUCCUAUCAGCCACAAAAAUUAACAGCCCCCUGUUAACCGAACUCUAGAUUACCCCAGUCACCCACCAAAAAUAUUGACUCUUGCAAUCAAAGCCACUAGUGAAACCCAAUCAGAACUGCUUAUGAAAGUAGAACAAUCCGCUUAGCACAAAUUUCACCGCAGUAGCCAAAACCCACUAAUGGAGAACUAGAGAGAUGCACAGCACUUUCAAAAGCAAAGGGCAAUAAUCCACCAUCGAAUAAGAAAACGAGCUACUUUAUGGAUACAAACAAAGUCAAUCUUCAAUGCUAAAUCCCCUUAAUUUAGUAAAUUGUUAAUGAUACACUACUGAUCCAAAAGAUAUGACCAACUGAAGAACAUAAAACUAAUAUACUAUUGAAUUAUAAAUUUCGCUCCAACAACAUCCCACCUCUGGAGACGUCCACUUUAGAGAAACAACAUACGAGAAUUGGUCAAAAACCAUAAACACCACACGAUUUGUCGCGCCACAAACAAUAGCACUCAUAAUCGCAACAACGCUAAAGAUACGAGCAAAAUCAGCGUUAAAUGUUGUAAAGGAGCAUAUCUGCAGCAAUUUGUUUGGCCAUAUGACUCACAACGGCGUCAUCAUCUUCAUCAAAGACCAAACCCAGUUUUUCCCCCAAUCUUAGCGUCGCAACAGCUUCUUGGAGUGGAGAAAUGGUGUACGAUUUCACUAUUUUAG